rnacentral:misc_RNA from 1 species
GAUGAAGAACGUAGCGAAAUGCGAUACUUGGUGUGAAUUGCAGAAUCCCGCGAACCAUCGAGUCUUUGAACGCAAGUUGCGCCCGAAGCCACUAGGCCGAGGGCACGCCUGCCUGGGCGUCACACGCCGUUGCCCCCCCAUCUACUCCUUCGGGAUUGCGGGGGGGCGGAUGAUGGCCUCCCGUGCGCCUAGCCGCGCGGUUGGCAUAAAUACCAAGUCCUCGGCGACGCACGCCACGACAAUCGGUGGUUGCGAAACCUCGGUUGCCCGUCGUGUGCGUUCGUCGCGCAUCGAGGGCUCGAAAAAAUGCUCGGCUCCGGCUGGGCUUUCAACGCGACCCCAGGUCAGGCGGGGUUACCCGCUGAAUUUAAGCAUAUCAAUAAGCGGAGGA